rnacentral:tRNA from 1 species
GGAGGAUUACCCAAGUCCGGCUGAAGGGAACGGUCUUGAAAACCGUCAGAUGUGUAAAAGCGUGCGUGGGUUCGAAUCCCACAUCCUCCU